rnacentral:rRNA from 1 species
AUUGAACGCUGGCGGCAGGCUUAACACAUGCAAGUCGAGCGGUAGCACAGGGGAGCUUGCUCCCUGGGUGACGAGCGGCGGACGGGUGAGUAAUGUCUGGGAAACUGCCUGAUGGAGGGGGAUAACUACUGGAAACGGUAGCUAAUACCGCAUAACGUCGCAAGACCAAAGAGGGGGACCUUCGGGCCUCUUGCCAUCAGAUGUGCCCAGAUGGGAUUAGCUAGUAGGUGGGGUAAUGGCUCACCUAGGCGACGAUCCCUAGCUGGUCUGAGAGGAUGACCAGCCACACUGGAACUGAGACACGGUCCAGACUCCUACGGGAGGCAGCAGUGGGGAAUAUUGCACAAAGGGCGCAAGCCUGAUGCAGCCAUGCCGCGUGUGUGAAGAAGGCCUUCGGGUUGUAAAGCACUUUCAGCGAGGAGGAAGGUGGUGAGCUUAAUACGUUCAUCAAUCGACGUUACUCGCAGAAGAAGCACCGGCUAACUCCGUG